AACGAACGCUGGCGGCAUGCCUAACACAUGCAAGUCGAACGAAGUCUUCGGACUUAGUGGCGCACGGGUGCGUAACGCGUGGGAAUCCGCCCUUGGGUACGGAAUAACUCAGAGAAAUUUGUGCUAAUACCGUAUAAUGUCUUCGGACCAAAGAUUUAUCGCCCAAGGAUGAGCCCGCGUAAGAUUAGCUAGUUGGUGGGGUAAAAGCCUACCAAGGCGACGAUCUUUAGCUGGUCUGAGAGGAUGAUCAGCCACACUGGGACUGAGACACGGCCCAGACUCCUACGGGAGGCAGCAGUGGGGAAUAUUGGACAAUGGGCGAAAGCCUGAUCCAGCAAUGCCGCGUGAGUGAUGAAGGCCGUAGGGUUGUAAAGCUCUUUUACCAGGGAUGAUAAUGACAGUACCUGGAGAAUAAGCACCGGCUAACUCCGUG
rnacentral:rRNA from 1 species